AUGGGUUUUGCGGGCCCGGCUGGAGAGAUCUGUGGGCCUUCCUCUUUCGGCUCACUUUUCCUCCUCCCACCCUUCUCCCCGCCCCAAGCCUGUUAUUCCUACUUUUCCUCAACUCGCAUUCCUGCCUCCUCCCCUCUUCCCCCCUCCUUCCCCCUCACUCCCCCCACCCCUCAACUCCCUCUAUUCCUCUCCCUCUCUCCGUUCCUCCACCUACUCCUCCCCAUUCCAACUGCCCCCCCCCCGCCCCCCCGCAAAGCCCCCCUCCUCAUCACCACUUAUAAUGGCACACAAGGGCUCCCUCUGAGGUGGACGGCCCGAUGCAAGGGGAGUCUCUGGCCCGGUGACGUUUGGGAGUGAGCUGAACCCUUAUGGAGGCAUCCAGGUAUUUCCAGAGAUCCCGUGACUAUUGAGGUCUGCUCUCGCUCAAGCCAACUCGUCCGUAAUCCCUUCCUAACAGCAGGUAAUGGUGCUAACAUUUAGUGAUUAUAAGUUACUCUUUAGCGUGUUGUAUUCUUGUUCUGUGGGUUUUGGUUACAGGUUAUACGAUUAGGUUUGCGAGAACAGUAGUGAACUAAACUUCUCAGUGAGAGGUCUUCACACCAGGGAAGUGUUACUUUUGUGCAGCAGCCCUGCCUCAUCACUCAUUAGGGAGCUGCAGGUUGUCAAGCCGCUGCUCUUAGAGCGCGCGCACCCUGAAUAUCCCCAGGGGCGUGCAUAUGCGCGCGCAGAUACGCGCGCGUGUACAACACACACACACACACACACACACACACACACACACUCCCCUCACUAAAACUAAAUUAAGAAGCCGAUGAUUAAGACAAGCGUCUACUAGGCCUGUCAUUUCAGCAUCCUUCCAUCAUAACAUUGUGGCACCGGCAAUUUUGCUUGAGAACCUCGAGAAAAAAAAAAUCCAUGGGAGAGCCUUGAAUUUGAGCGUCGAGAUGCUUAACUUGUAAAAGCUAGGGAAACACUUCGGAAGCGAGAAAGUCCAAAGUUAAAAAAAUUGAAGAGAAGCAAGAGGAGGUCUGGAUAGAGACCCUGGGACUCCCCAGGCAGGUUUCUGUGACUCUGUCAGAGAGGUUCCAAGCUCUCUGAAGGCAAGCACGUACUCAUCCAAAGGAAUCAUCUUGGGACCUGCAACAAAAUACACUCCGGAGAAGCUUCUUCCCAUUGCUAACCCUGCAGACAGCCAAGUAUGGAGAAAUUCAUAAGGAAAUAUCACCACCCUAACGUCAAAGGACCCUCAAAAAGUCUCUGAACAACCUUUCAGUGGAACACUGCACAGAUCUUUUAAAUAUAAAACGCCCACUAGCCCUUUACUUGUUUCCCGUUAUUUGCCAGGGUGCUUGGGGUC
rnacentral:lncRNA from 1 species